UAACGCGUGAGAAUCUGGSUUCAGGKCGGGGACAACCACUGGAAACGGUGGCUAAUACCGGAUAUGCCGAGAGGUGAAAGGCUAGCUGCCUGAAGAUGARCUCGCGUCUGAUUAGCUAGUUGGGAGUGUAAGARACUACCAAGGCGACSAUCAGUAGCUGGUCUGARAGGAUGAUCAGCCACACUGGGACUGARACACGGCCCAGACUCCUACGGGAGGCAGCAGUGGGGAAUUUUCCGCAAUGGGCGAAAGCCUGACGGARCAAUACCGCGUGAGGGAGGAAGGSUCUUGGGUUGUAAACCUCUUUUCUCAGGGAAGAAAAAAAUGACGGUACCUGAGGAAUAAGCAUCGGCUAACUCCGUGCCAGCAGCCGCGGUAAUACGGARGAUGCAAGCGUUAUCCGGAAUGAUUGGGCGUAAAGCGUCCGCAGGUGGCUGUGAAAGUCUGCUGUUAAAGAAUGAGGCUCAACCUCAUACAAGCAGUGGAAACUACACGGCUAGAGUGCGUUCGGGGUAGAGGGAAUUCCUGGUGUAGCGGUGAAAUGCGUAGAUAUCAGGAAGAACACCGGUGGCGAAGGCGCUCUACUAGGCCGCAACUGACACUGAGGGACGAAAGCUAGGGGAGCGAAUGGGAUUAGAUACCCCAGUAGUCCUAGCCGUAAACGAUGGAUAC
rnacentral:rRNA from 1 species